rnacentral:rRNA from 1 species
GGUUAAGUUAGAAAGGGCGCACGGUGGAUGCCUUGGCACUAGGAGCCGAAGAAGGACGGGACUAACACCGAUAUGCUUUGGGGAGCUGUACGUAAGCGUUGAUCCAGAGAUUUCCGAAUGGGGGAACCCACUAUCUUUAGUCGGAUAGUAUCCUUACGUGAAUACAUAGCGUGAGGAAGGCAGACCCAGGGAACUGAAACAUCUAAGUACCUGGAGGAAGAGAAAGAAAAAUCGAUUUCCUGAGUAGCGGCGAGCGAAACGGAAAGAGCCCAAACCAAGAAGCUUGCUUCUUGGGGUUGUAGGACACUCUAUACGGAGUUACAAAAGAAAGUUAUAAAUGAAGUGGUCUGGAAAGGCCCGCCAAAGACGGUAACAGCCCGGUAGUUGAAAUGGCUUUCCCUCCAGAGUGGAUCCUGAGUACGGCGGAACACGUGAAAUUCCGUCGGAAUCCGGGAGGACCAUCUCCCAAGGCUAAAUACUCCCUAGUGACCGAUAGUGAACCAGUACCGUGAGGGAAAGGUGAAAAGCACCCCGGAAGGGGAGUGAAACAGUUCCUGAAACCGUGUGCCUACAAGUAGUUAGAGCCCGUUAAUGGGUGAUAGCGUGCCUUUUGUAGAAUGAACCGGCGAGUUACGAUUUGUUGCAAGGUUAAGCGGAAAAAGCGGAGCCGUAGCGAAAGCGAGUCUGAAUAGGGCGCAUAAGUAACAGGUCGUAGACCCGAAACCAGGUGAUCUACCCAUGUCCAGGAUGAAGGUAAGGUAAUACUUACUGGAGGUCCGAACCCACGCACGUUGAAAAGUGCGGGGAUGAGGUGUGGGUAGCGGAGAAAUUCCAAUCGAACUUGGAGAUAGCUGGUUCUCUCCGAAAUAGCUUUAGGGCUAGCCUCGAGGUAAAGAGUCAUGGAGGUAGAGCACUGUUUGGACUAGGGGCCCUUCUCGGGUUACCGAAUUCAGAUAAACUCCGAAUGCCAUGUACUUAUACUCGGGAGUCAGACUGCGAGUGAUAAGAUCCGUAGUCGAAAGGGAAACAGCCCAGACCACCAGUUAAGGUCCCCAAAUAUAUGUUAAGUGGAAAAGGAUGUGGGGUUGCUUAGACAACCAGGAUGUUGGCUUAGAAGCAGCCACCAUUGAAAGAGUGCGUAAUAGCUCACUGGUCGAGUGACCCCGCGCCGAAAAUGUACCGGGGCUAAACAUAUUACCGAAACUGUGGAUGAACCUCUUUAGAGGUUCGUGGUAGGAGAGCGUUCUAAGGGCGGUGAAGUCAGACCGGAAGGACUGGUGGAGCGCUUAGAAGUGAGAAUGCCGGUAUGAGUAGCGAAAGAAGGGUGAGAAUCCCUUCCACCGAAUAUCUAAGGUUUCCUGAGGAAGGCUCGUCCGCUCAGGGUUAGUCGGGACCUAAGCCGAGGCCGAUAGGCGUAGGCGAUGGACAACAGGUAGAGAUUCCUGUACCAGUGCUAAUUGUUUAACCGAUGGGGUGACACAGAAGGAUAGGGAAUCGCACGAAUGGAAAUGUGCGUCCAAGCAGUGAGUGUGAGAAGUAGGCAAAUCCGCUUCUCGCGAAGCAUGAGCUGUGAUGGGGAAGGAAAUUAAGUACGGAAGUUCCUGAUUUCACGCUGUCAAGAAAAGCCUCUAGGAAGAGUAGUACUGCCCGUACCGCAAACCGACACAGGUAGAUGAGGAGAGAAUCCUAAGGUGAGCGAGAGAACUCUCGUUAAGGAACUCGGCAAAAUGACCCCGUAACUUCGGGAGAAGGGGUGCUCUAUUAGGGUGCAAGCCCGAGAGAGCCGCAGUGAAUAGGCCCAGGCGACUGUUUAGCAAAAACACAGGUCUCUGCAAAACCGUAAGGUGACGUAUAGGGGCUGACGCCUGCCCGGUGCUGGAAGGUUAAGAGGAGUGCUUAGCUUCGGCGAAGGUACGAAUUGAAGCCCCAGUAAACGGCGGCCGUAACUAUAACGGUCCUAAGGUAGCGAAAUUCCUUGUCGGGUAAGUUCCGACCCGCACGAAAGGCGCAACGAUCUGGGCACUGUCUCAACGAGAGACUCGGUGAAAUUAUAGUACCUGUGAAGAUGCAGGUUACCCGCGACAGGACGGAAAGACCCCGUGGAGCUUUACUGCAACCUGAUAUGGAAUGUUUGUACCGCUUGUACAGGAUAGGUAGGAGCCGAAGAGACGUGUGCGCUAGCAUACGAGGAGGCAAUGGUGGGAUACUACCCUGGCUGUAUGACCAUUCUAACCCGCCACGCUUAGCGCGUGGGGAGACAGUGUCAGGUGGGCAGUUUGACUGGGGCGGUCGCCUCCUAAAGAGUAACGGAGGCGCCCAAAGGUUCCCUC